AGAAGUUACUUCGGUACAUCGGUGACAGGUGGUGCAUGGUUGUCGUCAGCUCGUGUCGUGAGAUGUUGGGUUAAGUCCCGCAACGAGCGCAACCCCUAUUGUUAGUUGCCAUCAUUCAGUUGGGCACUCUAGCGAGACUGCCGGUAAUAAACCGGAGGAAGGUGGGGAUGACGUCAAAUCAUCAUGCCCCUUAUGACCUGGGCUACACACGUGCUACAAUGGUUGGUACAACGAGUUGCGAGUCGGUGACGGCGAGCUAAUCUCUUAAAGCCAAUCUCAGUUCGGAUUGUAGGCUGCAACUCGCCUACAUGAAGUCGGAAUCGCUAGUAAUCGCGGAUCAGCACGCCGCGGUGAAUACGUUCCCGGGCCUU
rnacentral:rRNA from 1 species